AUUGAACGCUGGCGGCAGGCCUAACACAUGCAAGUCGAACGCGUGGCGGACGGGUGAGUAACGUCUGGGAAACUGCCUGAUGGAGGGGGAUAACUACUGGAACCGGUAGCUUAUACCGCAUACCAUCAGUUGUGCCCAGAUGGGAUUAGCGAGUUGGUGGGGUAACGGCUCACCAAGGAGACGAUCCCUAGCUGGUCUGAGAGGAUGACCAGACACAGUGGAACUGGGACACGGGCCAGACUCCUACGGGAGGCAGCAGUGGGGAAUAUUGCACAAUGGACGAAAGCCUGAUCCAGCCAUGCCGCGUGUGUGAAGAAGGUCUUCGGAUUGGAAAGCACUUAAAGUUGGGAGGCGUUACCGACAGAAUAAGCACGGGCUAAACUCGUGCCAGCAGCCGCGGUAAUAC
rnacentral:rRNA from 1 species